GAGGAAAAACUAUGAUGGUGAGUGAUCAUUUAUUAAUUAUUCAUAAUAUAUUUAUUUUUUCUUAAUUGUUUCAUAUUUGAUUUUCGUAAAGGCCGAAUAUGAAAAUUUGAAUGAAGAACUUCGAAGACAAGAAGACAGUGAUUUUGAUUCUGAUGACGAUAGCGAAGACGAAAAUUUAUCGUCUCAAGGUUCAACUAGAUUUCAUACGAAGUCUCUGUUUAAAAACGAUCAUAUUGGACUUUGGCUGAAAGCAUCAAAGGGAAAGAAAAAUGGGCGCAUUCUGG
rnacentral:lncRNA from 1 species